CCAAGAUAUUAAGGGCAUUCGGUGGAUGCCUUGGCGUCAGGAGGCGAUGAAGGACGUGGUGGGCUGCGAAAAGCCCCGGGGAGCUGCCAAACAAGCAUUGAUCCGGGGGUAUCCGAAUGGGGCAACCCGGCUGGAGUCAUGUCCAGUCAUUCUCUAGCUGAAUAUAUAGGCAAGAGAAAGCGAACCCAGGGAAGUGAAACAUCUCAGUACCUGGAGGAAAAGAAAUCAAACGAGAUUUCCCAAGUAGCGGCGAGCGAACGGGAAGGAGCCUAAACCGGUGUUUUUUCGGAAAUGCCGGUGUUGCAGGGCCUCGAUAAAGUGAUCCGUAAUUAUACAGCAGAACAGGUUGGGAAACCUGGCCAUAGUAGGUGAAAGCCCUGUAUGCGAAGUAGAACGCGGCGCUUAGAGGUUCCUAAGUACCGCGGGGCACGUGUAACCCCGUGGGAAUCUGGGUGGACCAUCAUCCAAGGCUAAAUACUACCUGACGACCGAUAGCGAACUAGUACCGUGAGGGAAAGGUGAAAAGAACCUCUGAUAGAGGAGUGCAAUAGAACCUGAAACCGAUUGCCUACAAGCGGUGGGAGCUGUGCAACUUACGGGUUGCGUGGUGACCGCGUGCCUUUUGCAUAAUGAGUCCGCGAGUUAAUUUCAAGUGCGAGGUUAAGCGUAAGUGUAGCCGUAGCGAAAGCGAGUCUGAAUAGGGCGCUAAGUACUUGGGAUUACACCCGAAACCGAGUGAUCUAUCCAUGGGCAGGUUGAAAGUCAGGUAAAACUGAGUGGAGGACCGAACCAUUGAAGGUUGAAAACUUCUUGGAUGACCUGUGGAUAGGGGUGAAAGGCUAAUCAAACUCGGUGAUAGCUGGUUCUCCCCGAAAUAUAUUGAGGUAUAGCCUCAGACGAUGACUGACGGAGGUAGAGCACUGAAAGGGCUAGGGGCCCCACCAGGUUACCAACCCCUAUCAAACUCCGAAUGCCGUUUAGUUUAGUCUGGGAGUCAGGCUGCGGGUGAAAAGGUCCGUAGCCGAGAGGGAAAGAGCCCAGAUCGACAGCUAAGGUCUCCAAAUCCAUGCUCAGUGUGAAAGGAUGUGGGAUUGUAUACACAGCCAGGAGGUUGGCUUAGAAGCAGCCAUCCUUUAAAGAAAGCGUAAUAGCUCACUGGUCUAAUGGUCCUGCGCCGAAGAUGUAACGGGGCUCAAGCAUGGUACCGAAGCUUCGACUUUGCCGAUAAGGCAAGGGGUAGGGGAGCGUUCUCUUAUAGGAUGAAGGUGUUCUGUAAAGAAUGCUGGACGACAGAGAAGUGAUUAUGCGGACAUGAGUAACGAUAAAACGAGUGAGAAACUCGUUCGCCGUAAGCCCGAGGUUUCCUGGGUAAAGUUAAUCUUCCCAGGGUUAGUCGGCCCCUAAGACGAGGGCGAAAGCCGUAGUCGAUGGGAAACAGGUUAAUAUUCCUGUACAUGUAUGAACGCGCGAUGGGGGGACGCAGGAGGGUAGGUCAUCCAUCCGUUGGAAGUGAUGGUGCAAGCGUGUAGGUAGGAGAUAUAGGCAAAUCCGUAUCUUCUCAGCCAAGACGCGAUGCCGUGACGCUUAGUCUGAAGUGAUUGAGCCCACACUGCCAAGAAAAGCCUCUAAGUAUAGUUCAUGCAUACCGUACUGCAAACCAACACAGGUGGGCGGGAUGAGUAAUCCAAGGCGCUUGAGAGAACUCUAGCUAAGGAACUCGGCAAAAUUACCCCGUAACUUCGGGAUAAGGGGUGCUUGCUUGGGUGAGAAAACUUGCUUUUUAAGUCUAGGCGAGCCGCAGAGAAAUGGCGGUGGCGACUGUUUACUAAAAACAUAGGGCUCUGCGAAGUCCAAAAGACGACGUAUAGGGCCUGACGCCUGCCCGGUGCCGGAAGGUUAAGGGGAGAAGUUAGUCGCAAGGCGAAGCUUUGAACCGAAGCCCCGGUAAACGGCGGCCGUAACUAUAACGGUCCUAAGGUAGCGAAAUUCCUUGUCGGGUAAGUUCCGACCUGCACGAAUGAUCUCCGCGCUGUCUCAGCUAGAGACUCAGUGAAAUUGAAUUGGCAGUGAAAAUGCUGUCUACCCGCAGCAAGACGGAAAGACCCUGUGCACCUUUACUACAACUUGACAUUGAUUCUUGGAUAAGCAUGUGUAGGAUAGGUGGGAGGCUUUGAAUCGGGAACGCCAGUUUUCGAGGAGCCACCCUUGAAAUACCACCCUUGCUUAUUUAAGGGUCUAAUCCUUGCCGUAAUCCGGUACGGAAACAGUGUCUGGUGGGUAGUUUGACUGGGGCGGUCGCCUCCUAAAGUGUAACGGAGGCAUACAAAGGUUCCCUCAGGCUGAUUGGAAACCAGCCGUUGAGUG
rnacentral:rRNA from 1 species